rnacentral:rRNA from 1 species
AGAGUUUGAUCCUGGCUCAGGAUGAACGCUGGCGGCGUGCCUAAUACAUGCAAGUCGAGCGAACAGAUAAGGAGCUUGCUCCUUUGACGUUAGCGGCGGACGGGUGAGUAACACGUGGGUAACCUACCUAUAAGACUGGAAUAACUCCGGGAAACCGGGGCUAAUGCCGGAUAAUAUUUAGAACCGCAUGGUUCUAAAGUGAAAGAUGGUUUUGCUAUCACUUAUAGAUGGACCCGCGCCGUAUUAGCUAGUUGGUGGGGUAAUGGCUUACCAAGGCAACGAUACGUAGCCGACCUGAGAGGGUGAUCGGCCACACUGGAACUGAGACACGGUCCAGACUCCUACGGGAGGCAGCAGUAGGGAAUCUUCCGCAAUGGGCGAAAGCCUGACGGAGCAACGCCGCGUGAGUGAUGAAGGUCUUCGGAUCGUAAAACUCUGUUAUUAGGGAGGAACAAAUGUGUAAGUAACUGUGCACGUCUUGACGGUACCUAAUCAGAAAGCCACGGCUAACUACGUG